CCGGGAAACCGGGGCUAAUACCGGAUGGUUGUCUGAACCGCAUGGUUCAGACAUAAAAGGUGGCUUCGGCUACCACUUACAGAUGGACCCGCGGCGCAUUAGCUAGUUGGUGAGGUAACGGCUCACCAAGGCGACGAUGCGUAGCCGACCUGAGAGGGUGAUCGGCCACACUGGGACUGAGACACGGCCCAGACUCCUACGGGAGGCAGCAGUAGGGAAUCUUCCGCAAUGGACGAAAGUCUGACGGAGCAACGCCGCGUGAGUGAUGAAGGUUUUCGGAUCGUAAAGCUCUGUUGUUAGGGAAGAACAAGUGCCGUUCAAAUAGGGCGGCACCUUGACGGUACCUAACCAGAAAGCCACGGCUAACUACGUGCCAGCAGCCGCGGUAAUACGUAGGUGGCAAGCGUUGUCCGGAAUUAUUGGGCGUAAAGGGCUCGCAGGCGGUUUCUUAAGUCUGAUGUGAAAGCCCCCGGC
rnacentral:rRNA from 1 species